rnacentral:lncRNA from 1 species
GAAAGACUGAAAAAGAAGAAAGAAAGAAGAAAGCAGCAUUUAGUGAGUUCUGAGUAUGUGCCAAGGAAUGGCAUAAGGAAGAGCAGUAGGAAGGCAGCCCUGAGGCGAAGGAGGUUUAGGAGUGCUGAGACCUGAAGUAACUUACGCUUUGCUCUCUCAGAGAUGUCUAGAGUUAAGGGCGACCUCAUGGACAUGCAUCAGGGUCAUCAAACUUCUACUGAAGAGC